rnacentral:rRNA from 1 species
UACGGGGGGGGCAAGCGUUGUUCGGAAUUACUGGGCGUAAAGGGCUCGUAGGUGGCCAACUAAGUCAGACGUGAAAUCCCUCGGCUUAACCGGGGAACUGCGUCUGAUACUGGAUGGCUUGAGUUCGGGAGAGGGAUGCGGAAUUCCAGGUGUAGUGGUGAAAUGCGUAGAGAUCCGGCGGAACACCGGUGGUGAAGACGGUCUCCUGGGCCGAGGGCCGACGCUGAGGCGCGAGAGCGUGGGGAGCGAGCCGG